ACGGGGGGUGCUAGCGUUGUUCGGAAUCAUUGGGCGUAAAGAGCGUGUAGGCGGCUGGAUAAGUCAGAUGUGAAAGCCCUGGGCUUAACCCAGGAAGUGCAUUUGAAACUGUUCAGCUUGAGUAAGGGAGAGGAAAGUGGAAUUCCUGGUGUACAGUUGAACUUCGUAGAUAUCAGGAGGAGCGCCGGUGGCGAGGGCGACUUUCUGGCCCUAUGCUGGCUGUGGGACGCGGGUGUGUGGGUAGCUAGCAG
rnacentral:rRNA from 1 species